UUUUUAAGGAGUUACUCUGUGGUGUUAGUUAUCCAUUGCUUCAUAAUAAGUUAACUCAAACUUCAUGGUAAGUUUGAGGAAAAUUAGUGGCUUCAAAGAGCAAUAAGAUUUUAAUAUUAUCACAGUUUGUGUCAGGAAUUUACAAAGGACUCAAAUGAGGGGGUGAUAAAAUUGUAGCCAGUUGUUGGCUGGGGCAACGGUUAAGGAAGACUUCACUGAGGUUAGAAGAUCCAUUGCCAAAGUAGUUCCCUAAUGCAGCAAAUUGCUGCUGUUGGCUGAGGGUGUCAUUUCUUUCCGUGGAGGUCUUCUAUUCAGAGAGAACGAUUUGAGAGAUCAAGGUAAUUCCUUUUAUGCCUUUUAUGACCUUGCUUUAGAAAUCACACACUGGCUAGCAAAGCAACAAACCUUUAUCCUUUUUCUCAAAAAAAAAAAAAAAGAAAGAAAGAAAAAAGAAAAGAAAAAGAAAUCACACAGUGUCACUUUUGCUAUAUUCAAUUGUUUGAGGCAAUACACUUGGACUAGGGGUGAUCAAAGGAUAGGAGUAGACCUAGACACAUCUCUCAAAUGUCAAGGGUUGACAUUGUCUGAGAAAUGUUAGUGUCCCAUAUAAUAAGAACAGAUGGUCUGUAAUAUAUAUUGGUGCAGCUGUCUUUGGAAAAUACAGUCUGCUACAACUGCAAAGGAGAAAUUGAAAGUCAUCAUUCCAGGGACUAAGUAGUAAACAAGAUAUGACCCCUGCUUCAGAGAGCUUAGGGUCUAACAGAAAGGAAGAGAAGGGGAGGGAAUGAAUGUUAGACACUGUGACCAGAAGGUUAAGUAAACCCAGAGAAGGGAUAAUCAC
rnacentral:lncRNA from 1 species